UCCUUCCUAUCCUUCAUAAUCUUCAACAUAAUCAUCAUACCAACCAAAAAGAAAAACAUAAACACACAAACUCAGAAAAACAAAAAAAAAACAAAAAAAAGCUUCAAUUAUCGUCCACUACUGUUCUUGCUUCAAAUUCUACUACUCCAUUUUCAUUUCAUUACCCUUCACUGUUCUUUCAUUUCGUUACCCUGCACUGCAAAAUCAACUUCAUCGUCCACCAUUGUUCUUCCUUCUUAUAGAUCGUGUUUAUCACCAUUCCCAGAAGAAAAAAAAUCACCAUUUUAAUGUUUUUUUUUUCCACAAUCUUUGACCCUGUUAUAGACCGUGUUCAGAUUCAAAUUCAGAUUCAUUCAUAUAAACACUAUCAGAUUCAGAUUUAGACUCUUACAGAAGAAUCGAAGCGAGAUUAUCAAGAAUCGAUGGGCUUACGACAUGGAUGGAUCACGGUGUUUGGUGUGGGAGGCGGUGGGUGGACGGUGAUGAUUUAGUUGGUGGUGGUUGUUUCAUGGUGAAAAUGAGAGAAGGAGAGCGAGUGUUGCUCUGACAUCUGGGUUUUGUGUUCUAUGUGAUGUUUGAAUCCGAUUUUCAAACUUGAGAAAAUAAAUUAAAUGGAGGAAGAGGGGCAUGAAAAGAACAGCUUCUGUGAAUUGUUGUGUUUCAAUUGUAGUUUUCUUUUUUAUUAAUAAUGGAG
rnacentral:lncRNA from 1 species